AGGGCAGGAUAAAGGAAACUCAAUCCACUCAUCUUGUUGAUUGAAAAAGAAAAUGCUAAAAUGUAAAAGGAAGAGAAGAGAGGACUUAAUAUUGAUUAUUGCCUCCAAUACUUUGUGGAAUCUUCUCUUCUGUCUCCGUUGAGAGUAAGGAUGCUCUCCACAGUGAAUGACAGUGGAAGUUUAGGAAACACAGGUGCAGUCACAGGGGUAAAGUGCUUGAAACUUCAUGAAGCCAACUUGUGAUCAUGAGGAGCCAAGACUGAGCACAAUCCUCAAUAGGCUGAAGAUGGCAAAGGGGAAAGACAGAAAAAAAACCUGGAACACUAACAAUGUUGUUGAGACACUGAAAUAGACAAUCCUGGAAGUGAUCUAUCUCUGAACUUACUAUUUACAGGAGAUGAUUUCUUUCUUUCUUUUUUUUAAUCAUUAAGCCAAUGAAUGUUGG
rnacentral:lncRNA from 1 species